UGCAAUAUGGAGGCAGCCAGGAAUGCAACUUGUUAACUAUUAAAGUACCCUUCGUUUUAGUUCAUCACUCAAAGUGUUUGUUGAGUCUUUGAUCAUCUAGCUAUUAACAUGGUGGUAGCGAAGUAGCAGAACCCACAGUUGGGAAACAAAGAAUAAGUAUUACAAAAUAACUAAAGAAGAAAAUAGAAAUAGAAUCUUUUACGAAAUCUAGAGCGAAGGUAACAAAAGAUGGCGGAGAGUUUGUUCAAACCGCCAACCGACCUGAAUAUAACUGAGGGCAACAUCUCAGAAAACUUCAGAAAAAUGGAAACGGCUCAUGGAGGUUUACAUGGCGGCUUCUGGAGCCAACACAAAACCAAAAGAACAGCAAGUGGCUAUUAUACUACAAUGUGCUGGCCCAAGAGCUAUUGAGAUUCACGACCACUUCACUUAUAAGCAAGAUGAAGAACCCAACUACCAUAGGACAGUACUUAAAAAAAAUAGAAGAGUACUGAAACCCCAGAAACAACGAGGUGUUGGAGACCUUCAGAUUCUGGAAUCUAAAAGAAAGCUCCCCCUUCGACAGUCUCCUAACAGAACUGAGGACACAAGCAGAGAAAUGCAAUUUCAAAGACAAAGAUGGAAUGUUGAGAGACAAAAUAGUGUUCUCAGUAAAUAGACAAAUUCAAGAAAGAUUAUUACCGUGUCAGGACUGACACUGAAGAAAACCAUAGGUAUUUGCCAAGCUUUCGAACAAUCCAACAACAGCUUGAACGAACUAAACAAUGCCGAAGCACCCAUUCUUGUUGACAAAGUAAGAUCUAAAGAACCCAGAACAAAACCUUGAUUACAGACUGCCGGUAUUGAGGGAGAACCCAUGAACAUAGGAAAUGUCCAGCAUGGGGACAAGUUUGUGCCAAAUGCAAAAAAAGAAACCACUUUGCAGCUAAGUGCAUAAACGCAGUAAGGAUACAAGAGCCCGCUGAGAGUGACAAUGAAGAAUACCUAAACACCCUAAAUGCACCAAGUGACAAAAUGACAGCAGUAUUCUUGAUUAACAACCUGAAUGUUAGAUUUCAACAUGACACUGGAGCAGACAUAAACAUUAUUUGCAAGACAUCAUUUGACCACAGCCAUUGGACUGACCCAGUCAGUGGGUUCAUCAACAGGGAUAAGUAUUUUCCGACUCACCAAAAGCUUGAUUUCUUGCUUGACUUUUUCUCUCAUAGUAUGGGGGAUCUUCCGACACUGAGAGACCACUGGUGCCACUGUUUCGUCUACAGUGAGAUGAGCCUCGCCUAAAUCUCCCAGAUCGCUUUCUUCACUGUGAACAGGUGCAAUGACGUUUUCCUUGUUGACAGUUAUUAGUCCCAAUCGUUUGCAAGUCUGUAAACCCAAUAAACAUUGCAACCCGUUGUCCACAAUGGUGAAUCUCACCUUUUCUUGCUUGCCAUUUUAAGGAUUCGUCAUGAUGAGAUCAGCCAUGACCGCUGGCUUCAUUUUUGACUGAUUCCACAUAGUAAGAGUUUGGGAUGUUUCUCUGACUUGACUUUUUCUGACAAAUCUCUUGCAAAUGAUGUUUACAUCUGCUCCAGUAUCCAGUUGAAAUCUAACAUUCAGGUCGUUAGAAUACCGCUGUCAUUUUGUCACUUCGCGUCCCGGAACGAUUAUUGGACAAGAAACUCCAAGAUCUUAUAAGAUUAGAAGUGAGGAGGGCGGAACGUACAUUCGAAACCAAGUAGACAUAAGACGACAGCAAUCAACAAAGAUGGAAAAUAGAAACAUUGAAAGGCAAGACAACUACAACGAUGAUGAAGAUUGGUGGAGAGAGUUUAGGACAGUCGAUCCAGUCCCAGCGCAACACACUGAAACCCCCAUCCUGUUGACCCCUCCUGUAAAGGAAAACAACUUUCCAUCAGAUGUCCAACCUCACUCAACCACAUACCAAAUGGACAAUCCAAUCAACCCGUCACAUACGCACACGGAACCAACCAACAAUAGAAGACCUGCAUCAACAAGAGAAAGGAAGAAACCUGUUUGGCAAAAGAACUAUUUCAUGAAGUAGAACUACAGACAGUAUCUUUAUUAUCUUUGUGUUGACAAAGAAAGGAGGAUGUUAGUUAAGAACAUUAAGUCUAAUGCUUAAAAUGAUGCUUAUUUGUUAGAGUAGUCUCCCUUGAGUUUUAUAGUUUGUUAUGAUUUCAUGCAAUAUGGAGGCAGCCAGGAAUGCAACUUGUUAACUAUUCAAGUACCCUUCGUUUUAGUUCAUCACUCAAAGGGUUUGUUGAGUCUUUGAUCAUCUAGCUAUUAACACAAGGUCUAAAAGAGCCUUUAUAGCUCAUGAAGUAAUCAGCAUGAUUGAGGACGAGGACCUUGAUUUUAUUUCUGCUGAUGUAUUCAUUAUGCCUCCCGACGAUGGCCAAAAUUCAGACGAAGACAGUGGAGAUGAGGAUGGUGGCCAACCAGAUAACUUUUGCCCUUCUCAACUGAAUAGUCAGGCAGAGUUUAUCUUGCAUGGUUUACAAAGUACGACAUCUGACGAUGGAGCUGCAGAUAACAUCGUUGGUAAUGAUGAACAAAACAUGCCUCAAACUUCUGCAAGGAGAAAAAGGAAAGUCGAAAGAAAGAAGAGGCUAUGGAUUAAAUCUUCAGUGGAUAGAAUUGAACAAAAGCAGUGGUGUGAUGGCAUUAGAACCAACGAAGAACAUGAGGUGGAUUAUCUCACAACGGUGCAUUUUUAAAAACAGUUCUUUGACUCAGAAAUGUUAGAUUUUAUAGUUUUAAAUACUGAAAAGUAUGCCAAAGAGAUGAAAGGAAAACACCAGUUUUCAACGUGUGCCUCCGAAAUUAAAGCCUGCAUUAUUAUUAUUGCAGCAUAGCUACUCAGGCUAUUCUAUUUUUCCCAGAAGAGAGAUGUAAUGGGAACGCAGUGAGGAUUGUGGUAUUAAGGCAGUUUAUAAUGCUAUGAGCUGAAUAAGAUUCGAUGAACUCUUGAGAUACAUUUAUCUUUCAGACAACAAUCUAGAUUCAACAGACAAACUAAGCAAAGUGAGGCAAUAUUUAAAUCUUAUGAAUGAAAGGUGCUUAAGAAAUUUCUAAUCAGUUCAAAAUCUAAGCAUCGAUGAGACCAUGGUACCAUAUUUCGGCAGACAUUCUGCCAAGCAAUUUAUAAAAAAUAAACCUAUAAGGUUUGGCUACAAAGUAUGGAGUUUAGCCACCCCUUCAGGCUAUGUGGCUCAGUUUGAUCCUGAUGUUGGUGCCUCAGCAACAAUUGAUAGACAUGAACUUGGGCUAGGCCCUGGCUUGCCUUCCUCCAGAACCCUACAAACUAUAUUUUGGUAAUUUUUUCACAACUCUAGCACUGAUGGACAGAUUAUCAGAAAAGGGAAUUGGAGCUAUAGGCACUAUCAGAGCCAACAGGCUUAAACAAUGUCCACUAGGACUGAAAUGAAAAAAAAAAAAGAAAGAGGACAGACAUAGCAAUUUAAUAAUUUUACAGUGGAAUGACAACAGUGUUGUUUCUAUUGCUUCCAAUGUUUCUGGUGACCUGCCAUUGAAAAUGUCCAGCGAUGGUCAAAAAAGGAAAAAAGAAUGUAUUCAGGUUAUUACAUAACCAAACAUCAUUUCACUCUACAAUCAAAAUAUGGGAGGAGUUGAUAGAGCUGACCAAAAUAUAGCAAAAUACAGAUCAGAAACAAAAAGUGGUGGUCGCCCUUUUUUGGCUGGCCAAUCCAUUUAUGCUUACAAAAUGCUUGGCUACUUUAUCGUCAGUCUGAGUUGUUCACAUCACAACCUCUGGACUUGUUGGCUUUCAGAAGAUAUGUUGUGAACUCUUGGUUUCUGCAGUGGGACAGCCAAAAAAGUAGAAGUACCACUCCUUCAAAGUCUGUGAUUUGCAAAAGAGUGCCAUUGGAAAUGAGGUACAACCAAACGAUGUGCAAUUUGCAAAAAGACUUGCAAUAAAGGAUGCUCAGUGUGUCCUGUUGGAUUACAUUUGAAAUGUUUUAAUCUUUUUCAUAGCCAUACUAUGUAAAUAAUUCUAUUUUCAUUGUUUUGUUUGUAAAAAAAUUUACUUUCUAAAAAAAUAUGUUUUUUUCUACUGAAUCUUCAUAAUAUUUUUGUUAAUAAAAAUUUAAAAUGUGACUUUUA